rnacentral:rRNA from 1 species
UGGGGAAUUUUGGACAAUGGGCGAAAGCCUGAUCCAGCAAUGCCGCGUGUGUGAAGAAGGCCUUCGGGUUGUAAAGCACUUUUGUCCGGAAAGAAAUCCUUGGCUCUAAUACAGUCGGGGGAUGACGGUACCGGAAGAAUAAGCACCGGCUAACUACGUGCCAGCAGCCGCGGUAAUACGUAGGGUGCAAGCGUUAAUCGGAAUUACUGGGCGUAAAGCGUGCGCAGGCGGUUUGCUAAGACCGAUGUGAAAUCCCCGGGCUCAACCUGGGAACUGCAUUGGUGACUGGCAGGCUAGAGUAUGGCAGAGGGGGGUAGAAUUCCACGUGUAGCAGUGAAAUGCGUAGAGAUGUGGAGGAAUACCGAUGGCGAAGGCAGCCCCCUGGGCCAAUACUGACGCUCAUGCACGAAAGCGUGGGGAGCAAACAGGAUUAGAUACCCUGGUAGUCCACGCCCUAAACGAUGUCAACUAGUUGUUGGGGAUUCAUUUCCUAGUAACGUAGCUAACGCGUGAAGUUGACCGCCUGGGGAGUACGGUCGCAGGAUUAAAACUCAAAUGAAUUGACGGGGU